CAGAAAAAGAAGAGAAGACAGCUCACAUCCCAGAAGGAGACACGCAGCAGUGAGUUCCCAAGCCCCUUCUCAGCUCUGCCCACACUCUCCUGCCUGCCUGUCCAGCAUCACGAAGGUCCUCCUGGCUGCCGUCUUUGUCCUUCUCUGCACCGUGGCCCUCUGCUCCUAUGCACAAGAAAGGGUUUACACCCCUCCCAAUUGCUGCUUCACCUACAUCUCCGGGAAAAUCCCCCACAGAAAUGUGGUUAACUAUUUUAAGACCAGUAGCAACUGCGCCAGACCUGGUAUCAUCUUCCUCACCAGAAGGGGCCAAUAUGUCUGUGGCAAUCCUGCUGACAGCUGGGUCCAGAAAUACAUCAGGGACCUGAAGAAGAGUCCCUGACUGGUCCAGAAGGAACCCAUUGAAAUGUGGGUAGAGAUUGGGCAGCAGGGACCUGAACCAGGGGACUGCAAGCCCAGAAGUUCCCUCUCCCAUGCGUCCCUCUCCCCUCCACUCAUCAUAUUCUGGAAACUUCCUUUACUUUAGUUAAGCUACUGAAAUGCUGUAAAUCAUUUUAUUCAUUUGAUGCUUUCUCUGAGAAAUCCUAUGAUUUCCUCUCAAUGAAAUCCCUCUCAUUCCCAAGCCCCUUCCCAGUCAAUCACGCAGAGGCUGAGGGGUAAUGAUUUACACUUUAGACCUUGGACC